rnacentral:rRNA from 1 species
CGCUGGCGGCAGCCUACACAUGCAAGUCGAACGGUAACAUUUCCAGCUUGCUGGAAGAUGACGAGUGGCGGACGGGUGAGUAAUGCUUGGGAACUUGCCUUUGCGAGGGGGAUAACAGUUGGAAACGACUGCUAAUACCGCAUAAUGUCUUCGGACCAAACGGGGCUUAGGCUCCGGCGCAAAGAGAGGCCCAAGUGAGAUUAGCUAGUUGGUAAGGUAAUGGCUUACCAAGGCGACGAUCUCUAGCUGUUCUGAGAGGAAGAUCAGCCACACUGGGACUGAGACACGGCCCAGACUCCUACGGGAGGCAGCAGUGGGGAAUAUUGCACAAUGGGGGAAACCCUGAUGCAGCCAUGCCGCGUGUGUGAAGAAGGCCUUCGGGUUGUAAAGCACUUUCAGUUGUGAGGAAAAGCUAGUAGUUAAUACCUGCUAGCCGUGNACGUUACAACAGAAGAAGCACCGGCUAACUCCGUGCCAGCAGCCGCGGUAAUACGGAGGGUGCGAGCGUUAAUCGGAAUUACUGGGCGUAAAGCGCACGCAGGCGGUUUGUUAAGCUAGAUGUGAAAGCCCCGGGCUCA